UACGUAGGUGGCGAGCGUUGUCCGGAUUUACUGGGCGUAAAGGGAGCGUAGGCGGACUUUUGAGUGAGAUGUGAAAUACUCGGGCUCAACUUGAGUGCUGCAUUUCAAACUGGAAGUCUAGAGUGCAGGAGAGGAGAAUGGAAUUCCUAGUGUAGCGGUGAAAUGCGUAGAGAUUAGGAAGAACACCAGUGGCGAAGGCGAUUCUCUGGACUGUAACUGACGCUGAGGCUCGAAAGCGUGGGGAGCAAACAGG
rnacentral:rRNA from 1 species